GGGGGAUGUCACAGAUAGUCCUGAUGAAGGGUCUCGGCCUGAAACGUCGACUGUACCUCUUCCUAGAGAUGCUGCCUGGCCUGCUGCGUUCACCAGCAACUUUUAUGUGUGUUGCUUGAAAUUCCAGCAUCUGCAGAUUUCCUCGUGUUUGCAUUUCAACGUUUGCUUUGAUGUGACAAAGAGAAGAAUUUAACAUGUGAAGAUUCACAACAUCCGCUUGUGAAUGAUACAUGGAAAAGCCAGUCAGCUCCAUCAUGGGUGCUAGCCUUUGUAGUGUCCG